CCCUGACCAGCAACAUAGCUCAGUCCAUAGAGCACGAGACUCUUAAUCUCAGGGUUGGGGGUUCAAGUCCCACAUCGGGCA